UUUUAUGUUGUCUGUGGGUACGGUACUUAAGGGUGCACCUGAAAGACCCCCGAAGGGAGCCCCCCACUCAAGUCUCGGGAAAGACGCGCACCCAGUAGGACACAGACACCG
rnacentral:pre_miRNA from 14 species